GUUUGAAAUAUUUUGGCCACUCCACGAAAGGCCCCAGCGUGUCCCAGCGAGUAACUAGUGAAAUUGACAUGGUGAACGCCCACUAUCUCAUAAUUGAUUUUCGCGCCAAAUUUUUCAGUAAGAUUCAAAAUCAGGCAAGUGACACAAGUCGCUCGCUUCCGUCUUUCUCAAGCGCUCCCUUCUUGCUACGCGCGGUCCCUAGCGAGCGACUUGGGCAAGUCUAGGUUUUAUGAUGCUUUUACAAAACUAUUAUGGCAAACUUUAGCGAUAACAAGCCAGGGCCUUUUUUAACAUACAAGCUGGGGGGG
rnacentral:lncRNA from 1 species